rnacentral:lncRNA from 1 species
UUGCCUAGCGUUUUAUGGGCAAUCAGAACAACAGAAAAAGCAAGGAGGAGCAAGAUGACUAAGAGCAUCCUCACAAACGGCAGCAUCCUUGAAGGUAUCAUCAUUCUUCACUUGCCAAGCAGGCACAUAAACACCUUCAGGGUCCAACCCUCCAACGUCCCUGCUUGAUGAUUCUUGAACAGGAGUAACCUUCUUACCUCGAACCUUCUUGCCAUGAACAACCAACUCCUUAUCUUGUUCAACACCCGCUUCAACCUG